rnacentral:rRNA from 1 species
CCUACGGGAGGCAGCAGUGGGGAAUAUURGACAAUGGGCGAAAGCCUGAUCCAGCAAUGCGGCGUGUGUGAAGAAGGUCUUCGGAUUGUAAAGCACUUUAAGCUGGGAGGAAGGGCAGUAAAUUAAUACUUUGCUGUUUUGACGUUACCGACAGAAUAAGCACCGGCUAACUCUGUGCC